rnacentral:rRNA from 1 species
AACGUAGGAGCCAAGCGUUAUCCGAAUUCACUGGGCGUAAAGCGCGUGCAGGCGGUACGAUAAGUUGGAUGUGAAAUCUCCUGGCUCAACUGGGAGAGGACGUUCAAUACUGUCGAACUAGAGGACAGCAGAGGGAGGUGGAAUUCCCGGUGUAGUGGUGAAAUGCGUAGAUAUCGGGAGGAACACCAGUGGCGAAAGCGGCCUCCUGGGCUGUGCCUGACGCUCAGACGCGAAAGCUAGGGGAGCAAACGGG